CUCCUGAAUCCUACAUUCAACGCGUCAAUGUGGCUGCAGUGUCCGCAAUUCCUUACAGUAGCAAGGUUACAACGAAAUUGGAACUUGUCUGCGAUUUAAAUUCAUGCAAAGUAUACGUGUUGCUCGGGAGUUAUAAAUUGCCCAAGAUAUUAACUCCCCAAGCUACGGUGGUCAAUGGUGAAGAAUUACCAAGCACAUAUUGCCGCUGUCUUUUAACAACCGAAGUGAUAGCGUGCAGCUCACGAAAUGUAAGUGGACAAGUGAAGCAAUUAGAAAGCAAUCGGAUGAUUUGAUUGCAUCAUUACAUUGCCCAAACCCAUGCCGAAAGCGUCGGUCUCGACAAUCACAAUCAAUGGUAAGGUGAAAUUCUGCAAAUCAAAGACUUGAACUUUGGGUCCCCUUUCAAGAGCAUCUUUAUACAACAACGCAGUAAGGGGAGAAGCAAUCUUUGCAUAAUCGCGGAUGAAGCGACAGCAGAAUGUACCAGUUCAGUCGGCUAAGUUUUUUGUAUAUUAAUUGUUUUAAUACAUGUUAAAACAUCAGUCGCCCACCCAUCCUUUGAUUGGAAAAACGGGUAAUUGUUACAGUGCAUGGGAAUCGCCACCGAUGUUAUUCUAUCAUAUCAUCCCAUGCAUGUUUCCCCUUACUGCAACCCUCACAACACAAAAAGCUUCACCUCAAAAUAGAUUUUGACUAAUCUGUUAAUAUUAUAUUGAUGUAGAGUAAA